rnacentral:miRNA from 1 species
UUGGCUUGUAGAGAGCUCCC